UGGAGAGCCCGGUGGUGUAUCCUGAGCGUAGCGUGAAGGGGACACCCUCUGAGGCCACCGUGAAGGGGUCAUGCCCUAAUGGCAAGGCGACCCUCAGGGUCCCUGUGAACUCUGAAACCUGAGGCCUCAGGGGUCAGACCCUAAACCGCCACCCUAGACCCAGGCCGAGUGUUCUGGAGGAGGCCCGGCCUGGCUGGCAUCCAGAGACCGCCCCCUGCACGCACCUCCAGGAAGCGUGUGGCGAUGACACGGUCGUCCUCGGUCAGCAUCAGGUUGUCCACGAACAUCCAGAAGAAGGGCUGUGAACCGCUGGGCCGGGGCCGUGCGUACUGCAGGACGCGGUGGAACUGGAACAGAGCGAACCGCCAGCAACUGUGAGGACGAGUGCCAAUUCCUGUGAGACCCUCACGUCGGCCAGGCUGGGGCCAGAGCUGGGCCAGAGCUGGUGUCCGCAUCCCCCUGCCCACACCCCACCCGGGACCGGUGCACACCCGCUUCCCUCUUGGCGCUCGGACGGACACGCUGUACUCACGUCCCUCCUGACCACGUUGGUAACAUCGUCCAGGACCUUCCAAGGAUCUGGACCCGCCCAGAGAACUCUCCGCCCAGAAAAAGCCCGCCCGCCUUCGGACCUCUGACUCCCGUCCCUGGGUGCUGGCGCCAUUUUAAGGCUCGGCCCAUCCGGUAUCCCGAGGACCUAAUGAGUUCACAAUCCCUCACCCCUUUGGCCUCGUGCGUUCCUCCUUCAGUGACCCUAACGCAUGGAUCGGACGGAAUACUGUUAAAAGGAUGCGCCUGCCCAAACUGAUCUACACAUUCCUCUCGAAAUCCCAGCUGGCUUUUGUGUGCGCACAAAAGUUCACAAGCUGCUCCUGAACUGCAUAUGGAAAUGCAAAGACACCAGAAUAGGCAAAGCCGCAGAGAAAACAAGUAGAUUUGUGAUUGUCUAAUGUGCAAGGGGGAGCUGAGGAGGAAUGGGGAAUGACUCGGGGCUGGGUUUUUUGGGUGUGUGUGUGAGAUAAAAUGUCCUAAACUUAGAUAGUGGUGAUGGUUGCGCAACUCUGGGAAUGUGAGACACUGAACUGUGUACCUUAAAAGGAGCCAUGGGGGCUGGGGCCCUGGGAGGGAGAUGAGCAGCAGGGCACCAGCUACGCCCGCUGCCUCCUUCCUGGAUGGAGGCCUGUGUGAG